GGCCUGGCAGGAGGUGACUGGAUCAUGGGGGCGCGUUUCCUCUGAGUACUGUUCUGGUGAUAGUGAGUGAGCUGUCGUCAUGAGAUCUGGUCGUGUAAAGCUGUCACAUCUACCUGCGGAAUUCACCUUAUACCUUAGAGAGAGGCUGCAGUCAGUGACAGCUGAUGGGAAAUGCAUCUGUUCCUUUGAGUAAUUCAGCAACAUCAUUACUUCUCAGAAAUGAUAAUUUCUCGCCGGGCGCAGUGCUCACGUCUGUAAUCCCAGCACUUUGGGAGGCCAAGGCGGGCGGAUCACGAGGUCAAGAAAUCGAGA
rnacentral:lncRNA from 1 species